UGGGGUAUAUUGGGCAAUGGGCGAAAGCCUGACCCAGCAACGCCGCGUGAAGAAUGAAGGCCUUCGGGUUGUAAACUUCUUUGAUCAGGGAAGAAACAAAUGACGGUACCUGAAAAACAAGCCACGGCUAACUACGUGCCAGCAGCCGCGGCAAUACGCAGGUGGCGAGCGUUAUCCGGAUUUACAGGGUGUAAAGGGCGUGCAGGCGGGCUGAUAAGUCAGAUGUGAAAUCCCCGAGCUUAACUCGGGAACUGCAUCUGAUACUGUUUGUCUUGAGUGCUGGAGAGGAUAGUGGAAUUCCUAGUGUGGCGGUAAAAUGCGCAGAUAUUAAGAGGAACACCAGUGGCGAAGGCGGCUAUCUGAACAGAAACUGACGCAGAGGCGCGAAAGCGUGGGUAGCAAACAGG
rnacentral:rRNA from 1 species